rnacentral:rRNA from 1 species
AUAUCAAUAAGCGGAGGAAAAGAAACCAACAGGGAUUGCCCUAGUAACGGCGAGUGAAGCGGCAACAGCUCAAAUUUGAAAUCUGGCCUCUGGCCCGAGUUGUAAUUUGUAGAGGAUGCUUUUGGUGCGGCGCCUUCUGAGUUCCCUGGAACGGGACGCCAGAGAGGGUGAGAGCCCCGUACAGUCGGACGCCUAGCCUCUGUAAAGCUCCUUCGACGAGUCGAGUAGUUUGGGAAUGCUGCUCAAAAUGGGAGGUAAAUUUCUUCUAAAGCUAAAUACCGGCCAGAGACCGAUAGCGCACAAGUAGAGUGAUCGAAAGAUGAAAAGCACUUUGAAAAGAGGGUUAAACAGUACGUGAAAUUGUUGAAAGGGAAGCGCUCGUGACCAGACUUGCGCUCGGUGGAUCAUCUAGCGUUCUCGCUGGUGCACUCCGCCGUGCUCAGGCCAGCAUCGGUUUCCCCGGGGGGAUAAAAGCUUCGGGAACGUGGCUCCUUCGGGAGUGUUAUAGCCCGCUGCACAAUGCCUUCGGGGGGACCGAGGUUCGCGCUCCGCAAGGAUGCUGGCGUAAUGGUUACCGGCGACCCGUCUUGAAACACGGCCCAAGGAGUCAAGCAUUAGGGCGAGUGUUUGGGUGCAAAACCCGCACGCGUAAUGAAAGUGAACGUAGGUGAGAGCUUCGGCGCAUCAUCGACCGAUCCUGAUGUUCUCGGAUGGAUUUGAGUAAGAGCCUUACCGCUUGGACCCGAAAGAUGGUGAACUAUGCCUGUAUAGGGUGAAGCCAGAGGAAACUCUGGUGGAGGCUCGCAGCGGUUCUGACGUGCAAAUCGAUCGUCAAAUAUGGGCAUGGGGGCGAAAGACUAAUCGAACCAUCUAGUAGCUGGUUACCGCCGAAGUUUCCCUCAGGAUAGCAGUGUUGUUUUCAGUUUUAUGAGGUAAAGCGAAUGAUUAGGGACUCGGGGGCGCUAUUUAGCCUUCAUCCAUUCUCAAACUUUAAAUAUGUAAGAAGCCCUUGUUACUUCAUUGAACGUGGGCCUUCGAAUGUAUCAACACUAGU